AAAGCCNUAUCUGGCAGUUCGAACGAGAGAACUUCGGGUCCCCACGUGGCGAACGGGUGAGUAACACGUAGAGGAACCUGCCCGCGCACCGGGAAUACGCUUCUGGAAACGGAGAACAAAUCCCGAUGUACAGGAAGGAGGCAUCUUCUUUCUGUGAAACAUCCUUUCGGGGAUGGGGCGCGGAUGGACCUGCGGUGCAUUAGUUGGUUGGCGGGGUAAAGGCCCACCAAGACGAUGAUGCAUAGCCGGCCUGAGAGGGUGGACGGCCACAUUGGGACUGAGACACGGCCCAGACUCCUGCGGGAGGCAGCAGUAGGGAAUUUUCGUCAAUGGGCGCAAGCCUGAACGAGCGAUGCCGCGUGAGUGAAGAAGGCCUUCGGGUCGUAAAGCUCUAUUGCGGGGGAAAAAAGGCAGCAUCAGGAAAUGGGUGCUGACUGAUGGUGCCCCGCCAGAAAGUCACGGCUAACUACGUGCCAGCAGCCGCGGUAAUACGUAGGUGGCGGGCGUUAUCCGGAAUGAUUGGGCGUAAAGGGUGCGCAGGCGGUCCUGCAAGUCUGGAGUGAAACGCAUGAGCUCAACUCAUGCAUGGCUUUGGAAACUGGAGGACUGGAGAGCAGGAGAGGGCGGUGGAACUCCAUGUGUAGCGGUAAAAUGCGUAGAUAUAUGGAAGAACACCAGUGGCGAAGGCGGCCGCCUGGCCUGUUGCUGACGCUGAGGCACGAAAGCGUGGGGAGCAAAUAGGAUUAGAUA
rnacentral:rRNA from 1 species